AGCCUUCUGUAUCCGUGCUGAGAUUUCGUCAUACACCAGACCACAAGGGCUGAUGAGACUGAGAUGCAAUCA
rnacentral:pre_miRNA from 1 species